UGCUCUUCAACAAAAGCUAAAAUAAGAUCUAAGACUUCAAAAAAGACUUUAAUAUCGAAGAGAAAAAGUGAGACGGUAGAGACAAUAAUUAAAUAGACUCUAGACAGAUUUUUUAGUAACCAAACGCAAGACAAAUAUAUGGAUGGACUACCAGACGAACAGCCGGAUAGCACUGUACCAGAAAUAAAUAAUACAGAUAAUAAUUCUGCAAGAUCAAAUGAAGAAGAUAGCAUAGCACAAUUCCAGGAUGCUCAGGAUCCAUAUGAAGACGACGACUCAGGCAUGAGCUUCGACUCCAUAGCCCUGCACAACUUGGAUACGUAAAAAUACUCUACAGUUGUAAAGAUACUCUACAGUUGUCAUAGUUUUGUAUUAUUAGCUAGUAUGGUCAAGUGGGGAUGCCCACUUUAUGUCUUGUAAAAGUCAGAGUCAGUCUGAGUGCUUCCUUUAUCACUACUUUCUAAAAAGAAAGAAAAACUGUUGAAGCACGCGUCAAAAUAAGUGUGAAAGAAAAUUAAUAACGCAUGUGACGAUGGGGCCCAAAGCGUACCCGACUUGCAUUAUUAAAGUUUUCUUUCUUAUCCCUUAUCUAAAAGUGUCGGCCAAUUAUGUUGCGGCCACGUAGUAGCUUUAGAACCACUCCUUUAUGUACAUUUUUCCUAUAAAAGGAGUACAUCUUGUAGUAGAAAGGCAUUAUUAAAGUUUUCUUUCUUAUCCCUUAUCUAAAAGUGUCGGCCAAUUAUGUUGCGGCCACGUAGUAGCUUUAGAACCACUCCUUUAUGUACAUUUUUCCUAUAAAAGGAGCACAUCUUGUAGUAGAAAGGCAGAGAGAAAAAUCAACCAACCUAAAAACUCGCCUGAAAUGUUUAAACCUUUCCUCCCAAAAAACUUGUCUAACCCAGUCGUUCUUGUAUAAACUUUGUAACAUCGUGGUUUAAAUAAAAGCUUCAAGUUUUCUAUUCGAUCUUUAGGGGGUUCCCGAAAGGGAAACCUCUCUCCUAGUUACUUCAUGUAAGUUCUUAUUUCCAUAUUUUCCCCACAAAAAUAUUUAUAUUCAUGUUCUUAUAUAUGUUUUAAAUAGUUUUUUGCAUAACCAUGUAAAUUAAACUGUCCAUAACCUUCUUACCCUUAGUAUAUGGUUAGCCUCUUAAUUUCUUAGUAUCAACGAUGGAUUAACCUGUAAAUUCCUAGGAAUUCUGGCUUUUUUAGUCCAAAAGGUCUGCAC
rnacentral:lncRNA from 1 species